CACACACACACACUCUCUGUUAGACAACGUCAUCAUAACACACAGACACACAAUGAACAACAACAACAUGAAACACACACUGCAUCAGCUGCACCUGUUCUGAUUAUGUGGUCUGUCGAGAUCAGGUGUUCCUAAUAUUCUGACUCCUCAGGUGUGUGAAUGUCAUAAACAAUAAGAACUAACAACAGGUGUUAGGGCAGGUGUUGGUCAGGUGUUUAGACAGGUAUUGGACAGGUAUUGUUUGUCAUGUUUGUCAGGUGUUUGGGCAGGUGUUGGUCAGAUGUUGGUCAGGUGUUUGGGCAGGUGUUUGGGCAGGUGUUGGUCAGAUGUUGGUCAGGUGUUGGUCAGGUGUUUAGACAGGUGUUGGUCAGAUGUUUGGACAGGUGUUUGGACAGGUGUUGGGCAGGUGUGUGGGCAAGUGUUGGUCAGAUGUUGGUCAGGUGUUUGGACAGGUGUUGGUCAGGUGUUGGGCAGGUGUUUGUCAGGUGUUGGACAGGUGUUGGUCAGGUGUUGGUCAGGUGUUGGACAGGUGUUGGUCAGGUGUUGGUCAGAUGUUGGUCAGAUGUUUGGACAGGUGUUGGGCAGGUGUUUGGACAGGUGUUGGUCAGAUGUUUGUCAGGUGUUGGACAGGUGUUUGGACAGGUGUUGGUCAGGUGUUGGUCAGAUGUUGGUCAGGUGUUAGGGCAGGUGUUGGUCAAGUGUUUGGGCAGGUAUUUGGUCAGGUGUUGGACAGGUAUUGGUUGUCAUGUUUGUCAGGUGUUUGGUCAGGUGUUGGUCAGGUGUUUGGGCAAGUGUUGGUCAGAUGUUGGUCAGGUGUUUGGACAGGUGUUGGUCAGGUGUUUGGGCAGGUGUUUGGACAGGUGUUGGUCAGGUGUUGGUCAGGUGUUGGUCAGGUGUUGGUCAGGUGUUUGGAGCUGAUACCCUGACAGGUCAGGUUCAUCCUGCCUGCAGCUGAUUGGUUCACAGAACUUUAUCACACAGUGAGCUGUCAGCGGAUGGUUUCCAUGGAGACAACCCAUUACUAUGGACACAACACGGCAGGAUGUGGUAGAUUAACAGGUGAGUGAUGUUAAGACAGGUGAGUGUGAUGCUGUGAGAUGCACUGAUAACACCUGUCAAUAAUCAGCUCUGAUUAAACUGAUCACAGCACUGAUACAGUUGAGAGGACAGACAAGUGAGAGUGAGGUGGAUGAGAGCUCAUGUACGGAGAGUCAGGUGGGUCA